CGUCAUCAUCGGCUCCCUCCUCCUCAUGAUCUGGCUCAUCCUCCGCCCCAACAUCCCCGAGGAAUAGCCCUAAAGUCCGCAGCGCCGUGAACGCGACUUUCUCGGCAGCGAACUCAUUCGUCGACGACUGGGUGGCGAGAGUGAUCAACGAUGACAGGGCGGCGCGUGGGGCGGUGAGUUUCAAUAUCAAGCUGCUGGCUAGGGUUCAGUUUCGGAAAAGCGGGCUGAGGGUGCUGUGCCGUUUACGAUUUUGAAUAAUGGGACCAGGACGAUGACCGGCGGAGGUAGAGAUUGCGGCGUUGCUGUCUGAGUGAGUGAUGCAAUCUGUUGAC
rnacentral:lncRNA from 1 species